rnacentral:rRNA from 1 species
AUUGAACGCUAGCGGGAUGCCUUACACAUGCAAGUCGAACGGCAGCACGGACUUCGGUCUGGUGGCGAGUGGCGAACGGGUGAGUAAAGUAUCGGAACGUGCCUAGUAGCGGGGGAUAACUACUCGAAAGAGUAGCCAAUACCGCAUACGCCCUACGGGGGAAAGGGGGGGAUCGCAAGACCUCUCACUAUUAGAGCGGCCGAUAUCGGAUUAGCGAGUUGGUGAGGUAAAGGCUCACCAAGGCGACGAUCCGUAGCUGGUUUGAGAGGACGACCAGCCACACUGGGACUGAGACACGGCCCAGACUCCUACGGGAGGCAGCAGUGGGGAAUUUUGGACAAUGGACGCAAGUCUGAUCCAGCCAUGCCGCGUGCGGGAAGAAGGCCUUCGGGUUGUAAACCGCUUUUGUCAGGGAAGAAAUCUUCUGGGUUAAUACCUCGGGAGGAUGACGGUACCUGAAGAAUAAGCACCGGCUAACUACGUGCCAGCAGCCGCCGUAACAC